rnacentral:rRNA from 1 species
CGAACGCUGGCGGCAGGCCUAACACAUGCAAGUCGAACGGGAUCUUCGGAUCUAGUGGCGGACGGGUGAGUAACGCGUGGGAAUAUGCCCUUCGGUUCGGAAUAGCCUCGGGAAACUGGGAGUAAUACCGGAUACGGUCUACGGACGAAAGAUUUAUCGCCGAAGGAUUAGCCCGCGUUGGAUUAGGUAGUUGGUGGGGUAAUGGCCUACCAAGCCGACGAUCCAUAGCUGGUUUGAGAGGAUGAUCAGCCACACUGGGACUGAGACACGGCCCAGACUCCUACGGGAGGCAGCAGUGGGGAAUCUUAGACAAUGGGGGAAACCCUGAUCUAGCCAUGCCGCGUGAGCGAUGAAGGCCUUAGGGUUGUAAAGCUCUUUCAGUGGGGAAGAUAAUGACGGUACCCACAGAAGAAGCCCCGGCUAACUCCGU